ACCUAAGUGAUACAUUGGGCAGAAUUCUAGAUUUGAAAUCUGGUAGAGCUCAGUUCAAACCUUGCCUCAGAUA
rnacentral:tRNA from 1 species